UCCCUCAGUAGCGGCGAGCGAACAGGGAAGAGUCCAGCGCCGAAUCCCGCCUCUGAAACGGGGUUGGGAAAUGUGGCGUUUGGGAGUGAGCGUGCCGGAGGUCGGCUCUGCAGCAAGUCCCCCUGACCGGGGCUCUUUCCCAGAGUGGGUGCGAGGCCCAUAGCUGCUAGGCCGCCUUCGGAAUGCGAUCUCCUCGGAGUCGGGUUGCUUGGGAGUGCAGCCCUAAGCGGGUGGUAAACUCCACCUAAGACUAAAUACCGCCGUGAGACCGAUAGCAAACAAGUACCGUGAGGGAAAGUUGCAAAGAACUUUGAAGAGAGAGUUCAAGAGUACGUGAAACUGCUCAGAGGUAAACGGGUGGGCCCUCGAAAUCCUGCGGUGGGAGGAUUCAGUCGAGAGGGCGCAGGUGCGGAACCGGAGCACGUGGAGAAAGGGUACCCGCUGACAGGGCCUCUCCGGGUCCGCGCACAAGUGCCGAUCGACGCAUUUUAUCCCGCCCAAAGGACGUCGCAACCGGUUGGGGAGCGGCCAUAAGGUCGGACGAAGGCAGGUGGCCGGUGGAUCCUCCGCACAAUCGGAGCGAACCGCCGGUUGUUAGCCGGUCCGGCGCACGGCGCGCAACCCGACCGUGGUGUCACGAGGCCCGGACGGGCUUCUCCGCCUCCUCCCUUAAAAUGGCGCGAGUAGAUGUGGCAGCAGUUCCGAGUCGGCUUCGCUCGCACCGGCAGCGCUCGGUGGAUUCGCGAGGCGUUCGGACUGCGCUGGCCGCACGAGGACUCGUGGGAGUGCUCGGACCAAGGAGUCUAACAUGUGUGCAAGUCAAUGGGACUCGAAUAAGCCCAGAGGCGAAACGAAAGUAAUGGUCCGCUCAGGGACCAAGCCGAGAUCCCCUCUCCUUCGCGGGAGGCGGCGCACCGGCCACCCCCUCGUUCCGAUUCAUCGGAUGGGGGGAGUGUGAGCACACACGUUGGGACCCGAAAGAUGGUGAACUAUGCUCGGGCAGGUUGAGGACAGAGGAAACUCUGGUGGAGGACCGCAGCGGUUCUGACGUGCAAAUCGAUCGUCAGACCCGAGUAUAGGGGCGGAAGACUAAUCGAACCAUCUAGUAGCUGGUCCCUCCGAAGUUUCCCUCAGGAUAGCUGGCGCUCGGAGAACUCAGUCUCAUCCGGUAAAGCGAAUGAUUAGAGGCCUUGGGGCCGAAACGACCUCAACCUAUUCUCAAACUUUAAAUGGGUGAGAAGUCCGCCUCGCAUGACUUGGAGGCCGGACGUCUGGAUGAGAGUGCCCAGUGGGCCACUUUUGGUAAGCAGAACUGGCGCUGUGGGAUGAACCAAACGCCGGGUUAAGGCGCCCGAUGCGAGACGCUCAUGAGACCCCAGGAAAGGUGUUGGUUGCUCUAGACAGCAGGACGGUGGUCAUGGAAGUCGAAACCCGCUAAGGAGUGUGUAACAACUCACCUGCCGAAGCAACUAGCCCUGAAAAUGGAUGGCGCUCCAGCGUCGAGCCUAUACCCGGCCGCCGCGGCAGAGCUCCUAUUGAUAUGGGAGACUUAUGUCCCGGUGAGUAGGAGGGUCGCAUCGGCGAGCGUUGAAGGUGCCGGGCGUGAGCCCGCCUGGAGCCGCCGAUGGUGCAGAUCUUGGUGGUAGUAGCAAAUACUCAAGUGAGAACCUUGAGGACUGAAGGUGGAGAAGGGUUCCAUGUGAACAGCAGUUGAACAUGGGUCAGUCGGUCCUAAGGGAUCGGAGAAAUCCGUUCCGAAGCGGGACAUUGAAGCUACGCGGAAUUCAGCGUGAUUCUGCUCGUCCCGCUCCUGAUCGACAGGGAAUGGGGUUAAUAUUCCCCAACCCGGACACGGAGAUAGAGCCCUCGGGCUCAAGUGCGGUAACGCAACCGAACUCGGAGACGGCGACGGAGGACCCGGGGAAGAGUUAUCUUUUCUUUGUAAGGGUUCGUGUCCCUGGAAUCGGUUCAUCCGGAGAUAGGGACGCUGUACCCGUAAAAGCUCCGCGGCUCUUGCGGAGUCCGGUGCGCCUCUGCCGCCCCUUGCAAAUCCGAGGGAGAGAGUGUGAUUUUCGUGCCGGACCGUACCCAUAUCCGCAGCA
rnacentral:rRNA from 1 species